rnacentral:rRNA from 1 species
UACGUAGGGUGCAAGCGUUGUCCGGAAUUAUUGGGCGUAAAGAGCUCGUAGGCGGUUUGUUGCGUCGGCUGUGAAAUCCCGAGGCUCAACCUCGGGUCUGCAGUCGAUACGAGCAAACUAGAGUGUUGCAGGGGAGACUGGAAUUCCUGGUGUAGCGGUGAAAUGCGCAGAUAUCAGGAGGAACCACCGGUGGCGAAGGCGGGUCUCUGGGCAACACUGACGCUGGAGGAGCGAAAGCGUGGGGAGCGAACAGG